rnacentral:tRNA from 1 species
GUCAAAAUAGCUUAAUAUCGGUUAGAGUACUGGUUUGAAGGACCAGAGGUAAUCAGUUCAAAUCUGAUUUUUGGCAA